rnacentral:rRNA from 1 species
GAUGAACGCUGGCGGCGUGCCUAAUACAUGCAAGUCGAGCGAACGGACGAGAAGCUUGCUUCUCUGAUGUUAGCGGCGGACGGGUGAGUAACACGUGGAUAACCUACCUAUAAGACUGGGAUAACUUCGGGAAACCGGAGCUAAUACCGGAUGAUAUUUUGAACCGCAUGGUUCAAAAGUGAAAGACGGUCUUGCUGUCACUUAUAGAUGGAUCCGCGCUGCAUUAGCUAGUUGGUAAGGUAACGGCUUACCAAGGCAACGAUGCAUAGCCGACCUGAGAGGGUGAUCGGCCACACGGGAACGUGGACACGGUCCAGACUCCUACGGGAGGCACCAGUAGGGAAUCUUACGCAAUGGGCGAAAGCCUGACGGAGCAACGCCGCGUGAGUGAUGAAGGUCUUCGGAUCGUAAAACUCUGUUAUUAGGGAAGAACAUAUGUGUAAGUAACUGUGCACAUCUUGACGGUAACUAAUCAGAAAGCAACGGCUAACUACGUG